rnacentral:lncRNA from 1 species
AUAUGCUAGAUCCAAGAACACACAAGAGAUACAAUGAUCCAAGAGCAACAAAGGAAAGAUACAAAGUACUAGUUCAUCCCAAUCCUAUGAGGAGAGAGGUCUUGAUGAUUGUCAUCUCCAAGAGGAGGUCUUGAUAUCCACAAGUGGAUCUUCUCACAUGGAGGCCUUGAACUCCAUGGGAGUGGUCUCUCUCUCUCUCAAGAGGAGAAGGUAGGAGCAAAGCUCACCUAAGAAUGAGCUAUCCUAUUUGCUAAGUCUAAAUGGAGGAGGGAGAGGGGUAUAUAUAGGUAGGUGGAGGAAGGGACGAAGUGGAGGCCCAACUGGUGACUCUCGGCCGUCCAUCCUGAUGAGCCCGUGCGCACGGGGUAAGUUGGGCCCGUGCGCAUGGGGGUCCCCUGGGCACGGUACGAGCCCGUGCGCACGGGGUGCUCCGGCGCCAGCUCUCUGAGUAGUCCGUGUGCAUGGGGUCUUCGAGGCCCGUGGGCACGGGGUCGCGUGGGAGGUGCUGAAUUGGUCUUGUUGCACUCCUUUUUCCUCCUUGUGGCCUUGUGGUCCUUCUCCAACUCCUUUGGGGUGUCCCUCACCAGCUUGUGGUCGUCGGUCUUCGUAUCUAAGGACACAUAGAGCACUUUGGUGAGGUAGCAAGCAAGUCCAAUGGAUAUUCAUGAUAUUCUCGAAGAAGAGCGGGUUCACCUUAAUUCCAAUGGCGUAUGUUCGAGGUCUCGUCAUAUGUCCUCUUGGGGUUUGGGGAGUAGUUGGAGUGUACAUGGGGAUGAACGAGGGAUGCUCCGCAUCAUCUCCCCCCCUUGGGAAAGAUCCGACCUCGGAUCGUGAUCCUCAUCACCAUGGAAACGGUUAUCGUAGACGGACUUGUAGUUGGAUGAAGUUGAAGACAUGGCGCAAUCCAAGUAGUCCAAGGUGUCACCGGAGUGAUAGACAUGCAAAAAGAGCAAACACAAUCAACACUCGGAAAUACAAUGGUUAGCGCACACAAAGUGGCCAUCAUGUAAGAAUGAGUCCGUGCGGCAAGAUUGGUCGUGACAAAGCGCAUGAAGCUUAUCAAGAUGAUCUAGAAUGAUAUGCAAAGCAUUCAUGGGAGGACAUGCAAUCAUUGUGCACACAAAUGUGUUGUAAAUAUGAUCAAUGCAACCACGGUGCAAAAUGAUGUCAUAGUGAGACGGUUUAUCAAUAGCAUGAAUAUGGCAAUGGAUGCUCAACAUGUGUAUGUUAUCAUGCAAUUGAUGGUGGACAAUAUGAUCAUGAUGUAUGAAUAUGCUAUCAAGGUAGAUCACAACAAAUUUGCUAAGGAAGUGCACAAACUCAUAUAUCAUAGAUGACAUGGAAAUAGAUGCAACAAGACAAAAAUAAUGUGAGUCAAUCCAUGCAUGGGGUGCAAACUUGUGGUGAGUAUGAUAUGUCCAUCGAGCAUGACAUGUAUGAGCACAAUCAACAUAUAUGGAGGUGUUGGUGUACCAAAGCUCGAUGUCGAGGCAUGAGUGGAGUUCCGAAGGUGCAUCCAAUAAGUGCGAGCGCUCCUCAAUGUGAAGGUCCAUGUAGCCAAUCUCCAAUGUCGCUCCUCCGUUCUCGAGAUGUAUCAUGUAGACAACAAGAAGGAAACAACAAUGAAAGAGUGACCCAUCCAAUAUGCGUAUUUGAGGAUGGCUCAAAGAGAAGGAGUUCACCUCAAGAAAGUUCCCAAAGAUGUUGGAGUCGUACAUCAUGUAUGCCUUCACAUAACCAAUAUGUCGCCUAACGGCACCUCCUUGUGAAUCCUCCAAAAUGAAAGAACAUGAUAAACACUCGGAAAAAUAAAUGAGGUUAGCGAAAAUGAAAAACCUAUCAUUCAAGUGGUAAGAUACCCAACAAGUGUAUGCAUCAAGCUCAUCAUAAGAAGGUACAAGGGAGCAUUUCAUAGUAUGGAGGCAUGUGAUGCAAGAACAACCAAAUACAAGAGGCUCAAGCAAAGAAGCAUGCAUCACAACUAAGGUGUCAAAGUCUCCAUGAUCAAUAAGCAUAGCAAGUUGGCAAUCAAUACAAGGUGAUAUGAGAGAUGCAACUAAUGGAGACAACAGACAAUGAUCAUGUCAAAUCAAGUGAGAUGCAUGAACAUAUAUGUCAUCAACCCAAGAAAGCAAGUAAUAGUGGAACAUGGGUGAUGCAACAUAGCAAGCAAUCAUAGCGAUCAAGUCAAGCAUGCUAGUAGUGCGAAGAUGCAACAUACUAGAAGGAAUCAUGGCAAGCAUGUCGUGUGUGCAAAUAGUGGGCAUGAAUAAUGCACAUGACAUAUCACAAGCAUGAAAGCAAGAUAUGAGUAGAAUGGCAUGAAUGUAUUGGUUAGGGGCCAUAUGUAAAUAGCAAUGGGGCAUCAUGACACUCCCAACACAACAAGCAUCAAUAGCAUGGGGCACAUGAUAAACAUGACAAUAGCAACAAGAAUCUCCACCAAGCAUGCAAAUACACAUAAGAGUAUCAAAAUGGUGAAGCAUUGGUAGAUGCAAACAAGGGUCACAAUUGCAUGGCAAAGGCAUAGGAGUAAGCAUAGCAUGCAAAGUGAACACGGUAAAAUGAGGAUAAGGUGACAAGUGGUAAAUGGCCCAUAGCCGUGUGAGAGCCAAGUAGAAGAGAUGCACGUAGUCCUUGCGCGAAUGGAACGGUGGUAAGGAUAAUCCACGGGAUCCCAAAGCAUCGUUGCUCUCAAGAGCUUGUUUCGUCAACUCUUGGGAUUCAGAGGUUGACGAGUAUACAUGAGUACCUAGACAAAACAAAGACAAAGGAAAAAUUGUGUGUGCGUGGUAAAUGUACACAUCAUCCAUCAUGAUGCGCACGUGCAUGUGUUUGUUAGCACAAAAUAUCCAAUGCUCAAAUAAAUGAGAUGCGUGAUAUAGAAACAUGUCAUCCAUCAUGAGAGGUUUGUUAUUAUGUAUGGCAUAAUGGAGACUCAAAGGAUGUAAUGCAUCAUGAGAAAUAUCGAGAGCAUUGUUAUUCAUGUUGUGCAUAUGGUGCACGCAAUCAUGGGAAUCAUGCAAAGUAUGAAAUGCAUCAAGAUCUUCGAAUAUGUAUGAGGAAACUAUGGGGGUCUCCUCAUGAGCAUUAGUAGGAACAUCACAUGGAGAAUAUUGGCAACAUCCAAAACAAAGCAUAUUUGGUUCAAUGUGAUCAUGGCAUGGCAUAGUAUAUGAAUUGUGCAAAUCAUGUAAAGGAAGCAUGGCAAUAUCAUCACAUGAAAAGCAAAAGCCAAUGACCAUCAUCUCGUCAUCUAUGCCAUAAGUGCAAAUGGGAUUUAUUUUAAUGGGGCAUGCAUAGUUACUAUAUUGAGAUUGUAAAGAUGCAAUAUGGGAGAUCUCACUCAUAGCAUAUGACAAGUUCAAUGGGUUGUCAAACAUGAUGUGACCAAAAGAAUUUUCACAUGAUAUCCUAUGGAGCAUAGCAUCACAACUAGGCAACUCAAGAUGCUCAUCAUCAUAUUCAUCAUAAAUAGGUAAGUCAAGGCAUGAAGAAGUCUCACUAGCAUGAAGCAUGGCAAUAGGUGUGUCAACAUCAUGGGAGCAAUCGAUGUCAAGAUAGUCCACUAGUGGGACAAGAGAAGUACCAUCACUAUGUUACCUUUGGAGCAUCGCUCAUGUGUUGUAGGUGAGGUGUCGAAGAUCCAUUCGAUGUCAUCUUCAUCUUGAUGGAACCAUGUGGGGGGUGUAUCAUCGUCCACCAUGGCCAUCAUUUUGUCCAUUGGAGGGAUGGACUCGUCGAGGAUAGGCAUGUCGUCAUGUAGGAGACCUAGCACCAAAGAAGAAAACACACUAGGAGUAGAGGUUAAGUCGUUAGAAAUCAUGGUGGCCUCACAUGUCAUGUCAACUACCUCACUCACUAAGUGUUGUGGCUCACCCACUCCCUCAAGGAUGCACUCACUCAUAUGGUUGGUGGAGUAACUCAAAUGGCGCUCACCCUCACAUAGGAUGUGUGGCAUGCUCUCAUGUGUGGGGCUAGUGGUGGUCACACUCAUCCUCUCAUAGGAAAUGCUCUCAAUGUCACAUAUGGUGGAGUCACUCAUGUCACUCAUGUGGUGGUGGCUCUCCUCACAUGACAAAUGGGGCAUCUCGACAUAUGUGGGUGUCGGAGAGAUGUAGGUGCAAAUGUCUCCAUGCUCAACUACUAUCGCCGUGGUCGAAGGGGAUGGCCCUUGCUCGACCUUCUUGUCGCCGUCUUGGUGUUGGAGGCCCAUAUGAUGUGGCACCUCGUAGCUCGUCUCCAUGAUCGAAGGUAGUUUCCCAUGCUCGGCCAUCGUCCUUGAGGGGCUUCCGAAGAUGGAAGUGUCGCCCUCGCUCAUAGGUCGUCGCCUUGGACUUGAUGAAGUCGUUGUAGGCGUACUCGUGGGAAGUAGGCUAAGAUGCCGUACGUCCAAAGGCGAAGAUGCCUUGAUAGCACUUGGCGAAGAUGCCAAAGUGGUUGGUGUAGCCGUAGCGCCGUCUUGGUGGUGGUCGUCUCGCGUAUUCUUUUGUGGUCUUGACCUUGGACUUGUCGUGAAGUAGGGCUUGUUGGGACUUGUGCAUUUGCGCUUGUGGAGCAUCUUCAUGAUGAUGAUGUCGUUGUCGUGCUUGAGCUCAUAGUAGAUGUCGUUCGUCGUCGUCAUGCACAUGAUGCUUGGAUGUGACUUGCCCUUCAUGACGAUGUUGAUCACGAAUGUGAUGGUGGUCACCAUGUAGAUGUGGACGAGGAUGAUUUGCACUUGCAUCGUGGCCGCACUCCGAAGACUUGUGGCUUGAAUGUCACCGCCUUGAAGAUGACGAAGGGGAAGAAGACUUGAUCAAGGUUCUAAUCUCCUCCAUCCUUUCAUCUUGCUCCUCUUUAUGUGCGAAAAGCUUCUUGUCGAUGUAGUCCCUUUUCCUUGCUUCGGAGUGACGAAUGUCGAUGGAGAUGUUCUCGAUGCUCUCUUGCAAUCUUGAUUGUGCGCCUUGCAUUUGUCAUUGUAGAUCAAAGAUGGACGCUUUGGUGAUGUAGUUGUUCAUGCCGUCAUUGUUGUCGUAGACCAGAGAGGAAAUGCCUUGCCUAUCCAUCACAAUACUCGAGCAAAUGUGAGUGGAAGAAAGGAAAGAACUAGACCAAUGUACCUUAUCCAAUGUUGAAGAUGGAUCAAUGAUCACUCAAUAAUGUAACAAGGAAAUAACACAAUUGGUACCGGAUCUUGUCAAUUCUCACACCUACACAACUAAGGCUUAUGGUAAGCUCGGUGAGGAUAGUGGCACAAAUAUUUGAUGCAAAAUCUUAGCAAGAGUCAAUAAUGUUGGAAAAGAUUCAAAAAUUUGCAAGUGAAACAAGUAGACCAAUAGCAAAUGCGGUACACGGAAACACACACACGGAUAGAUAAAAUGGGGUCGUGCAACCAAGGAUUGAGCACAAAAUGUGGAGUCCACGGAAAAUGCUCGUGUUGCACAACUCAAGAGAGACACUAGCACGAUUGCUUAAUCGGCGGAUACGACACUUGUGCACAACCUAUAAGAUGCAAAAUGGAUAAACUUCUAUCCCAAGUAUUCUAUGUAUGUAUGGUUCCCGGUGUUUCUCUCAAGAUGAUCCAAGAUGAUCUGAUAUGACAAUCUUAUGUGCAAUGGGGUAUGAUGCUAUGGCACUUGCUUACAAGCUUCUUUGCUCUCUUUCUUUUGCUUAAAAGCUUAUUCCCUUUUUUUUAUAUGGCCACUUAUGCGAAAUGCACAAACCAAGAUAGCAAUUGUGUAUAUGCGGGAACAAUCUUGUGACACAAGAGAUGAUAUGAUAGCAAGAUGAUACCAAUAUGAUAUGGUAUGUAUGCAAUGGAAGGUAUGAUCGCUAAUGUGCACAAGUAACGUUGACGGCAAUACUCAAAUGGCUAGUCUCGAUAGGCAAGUAACGCAAAAUGGGCUAGGGGUUAUCAAUGCAAUUUGCAAGGGGAAUAUACAAUGGUGUCGUCGACGUUACCGUCCUUUGCGAUGAUGAGUGGCGGUGUCCUUGAUGUAGAUACCAAGAUGAUGGAGUCUCGUCCCUAAGUAGCCGAGACACCCUAGGAGACGGAAAAACCGCAAACUCAAUCUCAAAUGACAAAUGUCAAAUGGUGGUAGCGGAGAUGGCAAUGUGGAAGUGGUGGAGGUGGUCUCUGAAGAAGCAACCGUCCCUAAGUAGCCGAAACAUCUUAGGAGACUCGAAUCACUACUCAAGCAACCACUAAUGCUAAGGGGAUCAAAAUGGGUUAGGUUGCGGAAGUCGAUGGUGGUGUAGCGGAUGAUAUGGUGGAGGGCCUAGGCAAUCUUGCCAAAAUACCGAAAUUUUGGUGGAGUCAAAUGGUGUUGGUGCCUAUCUAGGUGGAUGGGGGAUGCCAAUAGCUACUCAACAAGCUAAGGAACGCGAAAAUCGGACUCUGAAUGUGGAAGUUAUGGGCAAAUAGGUGAAGUGCACGCGGCUGACUUGGGGGGAGGGGGGUCGUGCGCACGGGGGAAGGAGCCCGUGGGCACGGGGUGCCGUGCGCACGGUACACACACCGAGGGCACGGGGUCACCUGGGACACGCGGGUUUGGCGGAUUUCUUCCCAAUCUAGGCUCCAAAUGGAUGGAUCUCGUUGCUGGGGUUUGGUUGGGGAGAAGGGGUGGUAUGGGAGGGUGGGAGGUCGAAGGGACAGUGGCAGAAACGCACUGGAAGGGCCGUGUGCACGGGGUCUGUCUGGCCCGUGUGCACGGGGUCCCGAUGGCCCCUGUGCACGGGGUCCUCGAGGAGUUGACGAACAGCUCCGGAUCCGUGGAAAAUCUCGAAUCUGAGGUCAAAAUCGAAGGGUGGAAGGUAGGAGAAGGUGGUAGAGGGGUGGAUCUACUUGCUAAACACCAAAUCCAUGGAUCAAAUCCAACAAAAUCUCAUCAAACCAACAAAUCACAAAAAAAUUUGGGGCUAUUUUUGGUGGGGAAUUUUCGAAUUUAGGACGAAAUCACACAAAACAAGGCUAGAAAACAAAGAGGGGGCUCCAAUUUCGUGAUCAACCAUGGCUCAUGAUACCAAGAUGUUGUAGGGUGGAACCCUAUGGGGAGAUCUUUCAUGAAUUGGAGGGGGAAUCCCCAAGAACAAGAUGAACACAAAGAGCACAAGAGAUGGGAAAUACUCAAAUUGACUUGAUCAAAUCACACAUAUGCUAGAUCCAAGAACACACAAGAGAUACAAUGAUCCAAGAGCAACAAAGGAAAGAUACAAAGUACUAGUUCAUCCCAAUCCUAUGAGGAGAGAGGUCUUGAUGAUUGUCAUCUCCAAGAGCAGGUCUUGAUAUCCACAAGUGGAUCUUCUCACAUGGAGGCCUUGAACUCCAUGGGAGUGGUCUCUCUCUCUCUCUCUCAAGAGGAGAAGGUAGGAGCAAAGCUCACCUAAGAAUGAGCUAUCCUAUUUGCUAAGUCUAAAUGGAGGAGGGAGAGGGGUAUAUAUAGGUAGGUGGAGGAAGGGGACGAAGUGGAGGCCCAACAGGUGACUCUCGGCCGUCCAUCCUGAUGAGCCCGUGCGCACGGGGUAAGUUGGGCCCGUGCGCACGGGGGUCCCGUGGGCACGGUACAAGCCCGUGCGCACGGGGUGCUCCGGCGCCAGCUCUUUGAGUAGUCCGUGCGCACGGGGUCUUCGAGGCCUGUGGGCACGGGGUCGCCUGGGAGGUGCUGAAUUGAUCUUGUUGCACUCCUUUUUUCUCCUUGUGGCCUUGUGGUCCUUCUCCAACUCCUUUGGGGUGUCCCUCACCAGCUUGUGGUCGUCGGUCUUCGUAUCUAAGGACACAUAGAGCACUUUGGUGAGGUAGCAAGCAAGUCC